AGUGAACGCUGGCGGUAGGCCUAACACAUGCAAGUCGAACGGCAGCACAGUAAGAGCUUGCUCUUACGGGUGGCGAGUGGCGGACGGGUGAGGAAUACAUCGGAAUCUACUUUUUCGUGGGGGAUAACGUAGGGAAACUUACGCUAAUACCGCAUACGACCUACGGGUGAAAGCAGGGGAUCUUCGGACCUUGCGCUAUUGAAUGAGCCGAUGUCGGAUUAGCUAGUUGGCGGGGUAAAGGCCCACCAAGGCGACGAUCCGUAGCUGGUCUGAGAGGAUGAUCAGCCACACUGGAACUGAGACACGGUCCAGACUCCUACGGGAGGCAGCAGUGGGGAAUAUUGGACAAUGGGCGCAAGCCUGAUCCAGCCAUACCGCGUGGGUGAAGAAGGCCUUCGGGUUGUAAAGCCCUUUUGUUGGGAAAGAAAAGCAGCAGGUUAAUACCCCGCUGUUCUGACGGUACCCAAAGAAUAAGCACCGGCUAACUUCGUG
rnacentral:rRNA from 1 species